rnacentral:snoRNA from 1 species
UUUGCAAGUGAUGAUAAAAUAGACAGGGACAUCAGCAAUCCUUUUCUGGAGAAUGUUGACUAAAGUCUUUGGGAAUCUCUCUGAUGCAUA